CCCUUAGAUGUUCUGGGCUGCACGCGCGCUACACUGAUACUUUCAGCGAGUCCACCACCUUGCCUGAGAGGGUGGGGUAACCUCUGGAAAGUGUAUCGUGAUGGGGAUCGAUUAUUGUAAUUAUUAAUCUUCAACGAGGAAUUCCUAGUAAGCAUGUGUCAUCAGCCCGUGCUGAUUACGUCCCUGCCCUUUGUACACACCGCCCGUCGCUCCUACCGAUGGGUGAUCCUGUGAAUGAUUCGGACUUCAGCGGCUCCCCUGGGGUGCGCCGGAGAAAGUUUUGUGAACCUUAUCACUUGGAGGAAGGAGAAGUCGUAACA
rnacentral:rRNA from 1 species